GUGAGGAAUUUUCCGCAAUGGGCGAAAGCCUGACGGAGCAAUGCCGCGUGAAGGAUGAAGGUCUAUGGGUUGUAAACUUCUUUUCUCAGAAAAGAAUUAUGACGGUAUCUGAGGAAUAAGCAUCGGCUAACUCUGUGCCAGCAGCCGCGGUAAGACAGAGGAUGCAAGCGUUAUCCGGAAUGAUUGGGCGUAAAGCGUCUGUAGGUUGUUUAAAAAGUAUUCUGUCAAAGAUUAGGGCUUAACUAUAGAUAGGCAGAAUAAACUUUUAAGCUAGAGUGUGGUAGAGGCAGAGGGAAUUCCCGGUGGAGCGGUGAAAUGCGUAGAUAUCGAGAGGAACACCAAAGGCGAAGGCACUCUGCUGGGCCAAUACUAACACUGAGAGACGAAAGCGAGGGGAGCAAAUGGGAUUAGAAACCCCAGUAGUCC
rnacentral:rRNA from 1 species